CACCUGUAAGUUCUAACAUGCCUCAUAGACCAGUGAAAUUGGCCAGUAGGAGGAGCAGGCAGGGGUCCAGAGGCUGGGGCCUUAGAGUUUGUGUAGCGUAACACUGCAGUUGCAGUGAGGACUUGCUUGGUAAAACGAACAAUGUAGUAAUCCUUUGGAGGCUGAUUUAAAGUUACUAAGACAGCUGCAGAUUGUCCAACAUGCACAUCAAGAGAGUCAUACAUAUUCUGGACGGUGUGAGAUCCUUCAACUUCAACCAACUUCAUUGUAUGACCCUGAAUCCUGAAGUUUAAGGAAGUUGACAAGCCCACAUUUGAGAUCCUGAACAUAUAGGUUUUACCUUGAUCACCGCUGAAUGUAGUAUGAGUCUGGCCAUUUAUGAGCACUCCAUCUGGAAGGGGAAGAGAUUUUCCUGAGUCUAAAGAUGCCUGUAAUGUCUUGUGAUUCGUCUUGUACCAAUCACCAAUAAGCAGAGUGAAAUCUCCAUCAGGGGUUGCAAAAGGGAUUGGAAUUCUAGGUCUCUCAUAUACAUUGAGUGCGCCAUACCCUCCAGCAGCUCUGUGAAGUAGAGUUGAAGGGAAGUAUGUGAAGGUACCAAUCUGAUCCUUGGUCUGGAACUUGUAAGUGUAGUUUGAGUUUGGAGGGAUGGGGCAAUUGGUUCCCAGCACUCCAUCUUGCCAAGA
rnacentral:misc_RNA from 1 species